AUCAUUGGGGGGCCGACUCUCUUCCAGCUUCUAUCGAUUCCACGGGCCUUCUAUCAUCUUUGUUUAAGCCUUUUUUCUUCUUUUGGGAACAUACUCUGGUCCGGUGUUGGGAUAUUUUAGUAGUUUACUCCUUUAUAUACACGCGUCCGAGUUCCGUGUGUCCGGCCGGCGGUUUUCCGUGGAAUCUAGGCACACAGCUAGGACGCCAGGACUCGGGGUAAAACCGACCCUCCCCUGGGUAUUUCGUGGUAUCGGAAAUCUAGUAAUUACCGGUUUAAUUAUAGAUGCGUACAUUGGGAGACACGGUUGCCGUUAAACACUAAUACAUGGACCAGCGUAGUGAAACAGUGCAUGGAUUGUGUAUGACCUUGGCUGAUUGAGGCCCGGGCCGCUAUGUGGUCGCAUUGUCGCUCUCGAUAUCUUGAUGCUUCCGAUGAAUAUAUCAGCAACUUAAUCUCCAUUGUUGAUCAAAGAAAUUGAAUUCUAAACUACCCUCGGAAUGAUGGAAAAAUCGUUAGUGCACCCGAAAAUUUCCAAUAUGGAAGGUGUCAUCUCAUCUUUAUGCCCGUCAUUAUUCCGAUUUUUAAUGGUAUUCCAGAUUGCCAUCAACGAUCGGGGGCAUCUAUUGUUGUUUGGCGUAUAUGUGAGAGAUUUAUGGGUAUCAGUUUUUACAAAUUUCUGAUAUAGAUUGAUGUAGUCUUGAUUUAUAUUCAAUAAUAAUCUGUAUAAUGAUAGGCCAGUAAUUUCGAAUAAAAUAGAAUUUUAUAUUCCC
rnacentral:sRNA from 1 species